rnacentral:rRNA from 1 species
GUAGGUGGCAAGCGUUGUCCGGAAUUAUUGGGCGUAAAGCGCGCGCAGGCGGUCCUUUAAGUCUGAUGUGAAAGCCCACGGGCUCAACCGUGGAGGGUCAUUGGAAACUGGGGGACUUGAGUACAGAAGAGGAAAGCGGAAUUCCAAGUGUAGCGGUGAAAUGCGUAGAGAUUUGGAGGAACACCAGUGGCGAAGGCGGCUUUCUGGUCUGUAACUGACGCUGAGGCGCGAAAGCGUGGGGAGCAAACAGGAUUAGAUACCCUGGUAGUCCACGCCGUGAACGAUGAGUGCUAAGUGUUAGGGGGUUUCCGCCCCUUAGUGCUGCAGCUAACGCAUUAAGCACUCCGCCUGGGGAGUACGGCCGCAAAGGCUG